rnacentral:rRNA from 2 species
UUAAGUUAUUAAGGGCGCACGGUGGAUGCCUUGGCACUAGAAGCCGAUGAAGGACGUUACUAACGACGAUAUGCUUUGGGGAGCUGUAAGUAAGCUUUGAUCCAGAGAUUUCCGAAUGGGGAAACCCAACAUGAGUUAUGUCAUGUUAUCGAUAUGUGAAUACAUAGCAUAUCAGAAGGCACACCCGGAGAACUGAAACAUCUUAGUACCCGGAGGAAGAGAAAGAAAAUUCGAUUCCCUUAGUAGCGGCGAGCGAAACGGGAAGAGCCCAAACCAACAAGCUUGCUUGUUGGGGUUGUAGGACACUCUAUACGGAGUUACAAAGGACGACAUUAGACGAAUCAUCUGGAAAGAUGAAUCAAAGAAGGUAAUAAUCCUGUAGUCGAAAAUGUUGUCUCUCUUGAGUGGAUCCUGAGUACGACGGAGCACGUGAAAUUCCGUCGGAAUCUGGGAGGACCAUCUCCUAAGGCUAAAUACUCUCUAGUGACCGAUAGUGAACCAGUACCGUGAGGGAAAGGUGAAAAGCACCCCGGAAGGGGAGUGAAAUAGAACCUGAAACCGUGUGCUUACAAGUAGUCAGAGCCCGUUAAUGGGUGAUGGCGUGCCUUUUGUAGAAUGAACCGGCGAGUUACGAUUUGAUGCAAGGUUAAGCAGUAAAUGUGGAGCCGUAGCGAAAGCGAGUCUGAAUAGGGCGUUUAGUAUUUGGUCGUAGACCCGAAACCAGGUGAUCUACCCUUGGUCAGGUUGAAGUUCAGGUAACACUGAAUGGAGGACCGAACCGACUUACGUUGAAAAGUGAGCGGAUGAACUGAGGGUAGCGGAGAAAUUCCAAUCGAACCUGGAGAUAGCUGGUUCUCUCCGAAAUAGCUUUAGGGCUAGCCUCAAGUGAUGAUUAUUGGAGGUAGAGCACUGUUUGGACGAGGGGCCCCUCUCGGGUUACCGAAUUCAGACAAACUCCGAAUGCCAAUUAAUUUAACUUGGGAGUCAGAACAUGGGUGAUAAGGUCCGUGUUCGAAAGGGAAACAGCCCAGACCACCAGCUAAGGUCCCAAAAUAUAUGUUAAGUGGAAAAGGAUGUGGCGUUGCCCAGACAACUAGGAUGUUGGCUUAGAAGCAGCCAUCAUUUAAAGAGUGCGUAAUAGCUCACUAGUCGAGUGACACUGCGCCGAAAAUGUACCGGGGCUAAACAUAUUACCGAAGCUGUGGAUUGUCCUUUGGACAAUGGUAGGAGAGCGUUCUAAGGGCGUUGAAGCAUGAUCGUAAGGACAUGUGGAGCGCUUAGAAGUGAGAAUGCCGGUGUGAGUAGCGAAAGACGGGUGAGAAUCCCGUCCACCGAUUGACUAAGGUUUCCAGAGGAAGGCUCGUCCGCUCUGGGUUAGUCGGGUCCUAAGCUGAGGCCGACAGGCGUAGGCGAUGGAUAACAGGUUGAUAUUCCUGUACCACCUAUAAUCGUUUUAAUCGAUGGGGGGACGCAGUAGGAUAGGCGAAGCGUGCGAUUGGAUUGCACGUCUAAGCAGUAAGGCUGAGUAUUAGGCAAAUCCGGUACUCAUUAAGGCUGAGCUGUGAUGGGGAGAAGACAUUGUGUCUUCGAGUCGUUGAUUUCACACUGCCGAGAAAAGCCUCUAGAUAGAAAAUAGGUGCCCGUACCGCAAACCGACACAGGUAGUCAAGAUGAGAAUUCUAAGGUGAGCGAGCGAACUCUCGUUAAGGAACUCGGCAAAAUGACCCCGUAACUUCGGGAGAAGGGGUGCUCUUUAGGGUUAACGCCCAGAAGAGCCGCAGUGAAUAGGCCCAAGCGACUGUUUAUCAAAAACACAGGUCUCUGCUAAACCGUAAGGUGAUGUAUAGGGGCUGACGCCUGCCCGGUGCUGGAAGGUUAAGAGGAGUGGUUAGCUUCUGCGAAGCUACGAAUCGAAGCCCCAGUAAACGGCGGCCGUAACUAUAACGGUCCUAAGGUAGCGAAAUUCCUUGUCGGGUAAGUUCCGACCCGCACGAAAGGCGUAACGAUUUGGGCACUGUCUCAACGAGAGACUCGGUGAAAUCAUAGUACCUGUGAAGAUGCAGGUUACCCGCGACAGGACGGAAAGACCCCGUGGAGCUUUACUGUAGCCUGAUAUUGAAAUUCGGCACAGCUUGUACAGGAUAGGUAGGAGCCUUUGAAACGUGAGCGCUAGCUUACGUGGAGGCGCUGGUGGGAUACUACCCUAGCUGUGUUGGCUUUCUAACCCGCACCACUUAUCGUGGUGGGAGACAGUGUCAGGCGGGCAGUUUGACUGGGGCGGUCGCCUCCUAAAAGGUAACGGAGGCGCUCAAAGGUUCCCUCAGAAUGGUUGGAAAUCAUUCAUAGAGUGUAAAGGCAUAAGGGAGCUUGACUGCGAGACCUACAAGUCGAGCAGGGUCGAAAGACGGACUUAGUGAUCCGGUGGUUCCGCAUGGAAGGGCCAUCGCUCAACGGAUAAAAGCUACCCCGGGGAUAACAGGCUUAUCUCCCCCAAGAGUUCACAUCGACGGGGAGGUUUGGCACCUCGAUGUCGGCUCAUCGCAUCCUGGGGCUGUAGUCGGUCCCAAGGGUUGGGCUGUUCGCCCAUUAAAGCGGUACGCGAGCUGGGUUCAGAACGUCGUGAGACAGUUCGGUCCCUAUCCGUCGUGGGCGUAGGAAAUUUGAGAGGAGCUGUCCUUAGUACGAGAGGACCGGGAUGGACAUACCUCUGGUGUACCAGUUGUCGUGCCAACGGCAUAGCUGGGUAGCUAUGUGUGGACGGGAUAAGUGCUGAAAGCAUCUAAGCAUGAAGCCCCCCUCAAGAUGAGAUUUCCCAACUUCGGUUAUAAGAUCCCUCAAAGAUGAUGAGGUUAAUAGGUUCGAGGUGGAAGCAUGGUGACAUGUGGAGCUGACGAAUACUAAUCGAUCGAAGACUUAAUC